GAUGAACGCUGGCGGCGUGCUUAACACAUGCAAGUCGAACGAAGCACUUUACUUGAUUUCCUUCGGGACUGAUUAUUUUGUGACUGAGUGGCGGACGGGUGAGUAACGCGUGGGUAACCUGCCUUGUACAGGGGGAUAACAGUUGGAAACGGCUGCUAAUACCGCAUAAGCGCACGGCAUCGCAUGAUGCAGUGUGAAAAACUCCGGUGGUAUAAGAUGGACCCGCGUUGGAUUAGCUAGUUGGUGAGGUAACGGCCUACCAAGGCGACGAUCCAUAGCCGACCUGAGAGGGUGACCGGCCACAUUGAGACUGAGACACGGCCCAAACUCCUACGGGAGGCAGCAGUGAGGAAUAUUGCACAAUGGGCGAAAGCCAGAUGCAGCGACGCCGCGUGAGCGAAGAAGUAUUUCGGUAUGUAAAGCUAUAUCAGCAGGGAAGAUAAUGACGGUACCUGACUAAGAAGCACCGGCUAAAUACGUG
rnacentral:rRNA from 1 species